rnacentral:rRNA from 1 species
AUGGCGCCUCGUCGCCGAGUAGAAGGAGACCCACCACCCGUGUAUGACGAAAUUGACUACUUAUCAAACUUCAGUCUUUGCAUCAAUUUUGGUGGUUAUUUCCUUGGAGUUGGUAAAAAUCGUGCAUAUGUCAAUGGAGAAAACAUGUGGUAUGAUUAUGUUGAGGGGGAUACACUUACUGUGGAGAAGUUAGAAGAUCUGGUAGAAGAAUUAGGCUAUGAAGUGAAGGGAAGAUUGCAAAUGUAUUACUGCAUGCCUGGUAAACCAAUGACUGAAGGUGGUCUUGUGAAGAUAACUUGCAAUGACAACUAUAUUAACAUGAGGGCACAUGUAACAUUUGGGCACAAGUUUUUGCAAAUGUAUCUUGAUCAUGAUGAGAGCUUCAGGCAGUUUGACUGGGAUGAUGUGAUAGAGUUUCCUGUAGCAGACCUGCCUACUGUUGUUAGUCCUAUCAAACCAAUUCAGAUCAUUAAGGAGGAAGCACUAGAGAAAGGCCAAGAAUAG